rnacentral:misc_RNA from 1 species
UCCGGUUUGUCACCGGCAGUCUCAUUAGAGUGCCCAACUGAAUGUAGCAACUAAUGACAAGGGUUGCGCUCGUUGCGGGACUUAACCCAACAUCUCACGACACGAGCUGACGACAACCAUGCACCACCUGUCUCUCCGCUCCUCCCGAAGGAGGCACUCCCGCAUUUCUGCAGGAUUCGGAGGAUGUCAAGCCCUGGUAAGGUUCUACGCGUUGCUUCGAAUUAAACCACAUGCUCCGCUGCUUGUGCGGGCCCCCGUCAAUUCCUUUGAGUUUCAACCUUGCGGCCGUACUCCCCAGGCGGAGUGCUUAUUGCGUUAGCUACUGCACGGCAGGGGUCGAUACCCGCCACACAUAGCACUCAUCGUUUACGGCUAGGACUAC